GUGUCGUGAGAUGUUGGGUUAAGUCCCGUAACGAGCGCAACCCUUGUCCUUAGUUACCAGCACGUUAUGGUGGGCACUCUAAGGAGACUGCCGGUGACAAACCGGAGGAAGGUGGGGAUGACGUCAAGUCAUCAUGGCCCUUACGGCCUGGGCUACACACGUGCUACAAUGGUCGGUACAAAGGGUUGCCAAGCCGCGAGGUGGAGCUAAUCCCAUAAAACCGAUCGUAGUCCGGAUCGCAGUCUGCAACUCGACUGCGUGAAGUCGGAAUCGCUAGUAAUCGUGAAUCAGAAUGUCACGGUGAUACGUUCCCGGGCCUU
rnacentral:rRNA from 1 species